GGGGGUCAGGACCAUGAUUAGCACUCCAAGCCACUUAAUAUUAAUAUUAAUAUUAAGGAAUGGUGAUGGCAGUAGUAAUAAAACCAGCAGCGAUGGCAGCGGUGCAAGGUGCAGGUCACACCUCCUGGGGGAAGGCGGAGAGGCAGCAGACGGCUGGAGGAAAAAUUGUUCCAAGAACAUACAAACGCUGUCUUGGGGGGGUUGUUUUCAGAAAAGCCUCCCUUCCACUACUUCCCAGCUGAUGAUAGCAGAAGGGCUUAACGAUAUUAACUCAUUAAGGCUGACAGCGCCCUGGGGGUGUAAAAGCAGCGGGAUGUCCUUUCAUUUCCAUCUCCCCGGCUGUUCUUCCGAGCGUCGCAGGUGAUGGGGAUGGCGAGAGGAGCUGUGGCUUUUUCUCCUCCUUGGUUUUCUCUUUCUCAAGACAGCCUGCGGGCCCUGCACAAGGUUCCUGGUGGUGCCGCUCCUUGCGUCGCUGCAGCUCCUUGUGCACGGGAGAUAAAACGCCCACCGUCUAGCAACUCAUUAGCUCUCCUUCGGCAGCAUUAGUGGUUAACAGCAUAAUUAGUUUCAGCAGUAAAAGGAGAUUUUGUGGGCCCAGGAGAGAGAUUGUUAAUCUUCUGGCAUUCCAGGCAACAGCCAAAGUGGCAAAUUGCUUGUUAGAAGCAACAGCAGAAAUAGUGCGUGCCGUUAGGCAAAUUAUAACUAAAACACUGACCCGAGCCGAGGGCAGGCAGCUCCUGCUCGAUAACAAAAUCUCUCCCCUCUGUUUCUGGUCCCUGGAUCUUGACAGCAGGUGGAGAAACGUCUGAAGGCCACGUCCACGCCGUCAGAGACCACCUGGAAGCCAUCUGAAGCAAUUCCUGGCGUUCGGCCACGACCUCCAGCCCAGCUCUCCAGGUCUUGGUCAGCAGCUGGGGCCGAGGGCCGGAUGCUCCAGGAAAAGCAACUUGUGCCGGGGGUGCUGGAUUCACGACGUGUUGGUAAUCUCACGAGGAGCGCCGGCUGCUUCGCGUUUCCAGACCAAGGAAGGUCGUGCGAAGUUCAGGCCAGCUUUGGGGAAACAUUUGAACUUGAGGAUGUUUGCACGCACCCGACCCCUGACCUCCCGAGCAGCGCGUUUUAGUAAUUCAUCAGCGCCGAGGGACCAGCCCCUCGCUGUACGUGCGUGUCUGCACUGUGGAAAGGCGACCGAAUUGUUUCGGUAACGUAAAAUAACAGGGAGGUAGAGCUGAUUUCCUCCCCUCGUAGCAGCAGCGGAUGCGGAGAACAAUAGCUACGAUGCCUGCUCCAGCCACCCUGUGCUGCAGGGACCUAUCCUGCUUCCCUAGUGCUGAUGCUCAGGCCUCAGCCGGGAAUAAAUCAACUUCAGGGAGCCCAAAUGAGGGAAAAAAUCUCACCAGAGAAGUGAUUUUGAAAAGGACUUCACAAAAAUUCAUGGCGAGCAGCAACAGAAUGAAGGAAAAGGUCAAGCAGCUGUUCCAGGAAAGGUACGGCGACGUGCCUGUGCCCACAGUACAAAUUGAAUAAAAUGAAUAAAAUGAAGGAAUCUCAUUGCUGGCAUUUCUGCAAGCUGCAGGAGUAUGCAAGCACCUGAGGGCAACCAGCAGCAGGAUUGUGACCAAGCUUGGUGCUGGAUUGCUGGGAAGGAAACCUUGGCCAGGAGCUCUCUGCGGGGCAGAGCCCCUUUUUGGGGGCCUAACCACUGACACGAGGCUGCUUAUUGGGAAAUCCACAGCUGGAUGUAUCCAAUUAUUGUUUUUUUUUUUUUUUUUUUUUUUUCCUCUGGCAAAUUAAAACCUGAGCUUUGGUUGUUAUUUUUUAAUAGCAGAUGGUGAACGGGCCUGCAGCCUCCCGUCCUUUAAUCCAUCCCACGUGGGCUGACCACAUCUGGCUGCUCUUCAGCAUCCCAGCCCGGGCCAUCACCACUGCCUCCGCCUUUAUUUUGGGUUAUCAGCCUCUCCAAAAGCUGCUUUCCAGCUUGGAUCUGGGUGUCUCAGUUACCCAUCCCAAGCACAGCUCUUAGCCUCUCCGAAUGUUGUCUAGCUCAUUUAAAAUAAUCGCUCCGAAUUUAUUCAGAUCAUUUCUAGCCAGCUGCCUUCCAAAAACCUUGCAGUCCUCCUAGCCCAGAGUUAUCUGCACGCUCUGUAACACGCUCUGCAGUCUGUCAGCAGGGUUGCUAAUGCAAAUUUUGGAUGCCCAGGCACUGGUUGCUCCUCCAGAGCCCUCGCAGCCUGGCAGAGAGCAGCCAAUAUCGCCUGCGUUGUGCACCAUGUGUUACAUGGACUUGUUCUGGCUCUUGAGGACAACAUUUCCUGAAUGCAGUGCAGGACCGACCACAGAAGCACCUGAACUUUGAGGAUGCAGCAGAUCCUUUCCAGGCCACGUCAGAGGUUAACUGCCUUUAGGUGUGUGGCACAUAGUGGGGACAAAGAAAACAUCCAGAGCAUGUUCUCAAACGCUCCACAGCAACGUCAGGUGAGGAAGAUUUACACAGGAGCUGGGACAUACGGCGUGCUUUAUCACCGCAGUCAUCUGCCAAGAUGUGUGCCAUUACCUAAUGGCACAGCCACGUUUUGUCUUCAUCCUGCUCGCCCCUGCGGAGGCAGCAGGCACACGGAGCGCUGCUGCAUCUCGGCGUGGUGACAGCAAGAAGGGGUUUUCCUACAGACCUCCGCUGGGUUUGGUCUCCCCUCAUGCUGGUUGGUGUCUGGGAGCCUGAAGAGGAGCUAAUGCACGGCUUCUCAGCUCCCGUUGCUGAGAUCCAGCAGGAUGGGCUCCUGGGGAGAUAAAAAGCCAAGGGUAGGAGCAGUCGGAGAAAAUAGAUGGCCACUUAACACAGUGCCAGGUUUCUCCCUGGCUGGAAAAGAAACCUGCCUUUCUGCAGCAUUCCUACGUGUCUGCCUAACUUGUUUGCAAAGAUUUCCAAUGAUUUAGUCUUUUGUUUCCCCAGCUAAUCUAUACAGGUGCCUAAUUAGCCUUGUCAUUAGAAAGGCUUCCUCACGUCUCACCCAAGUGUGCUGUGCUUCAAUCUGCCCAUCACAGACAGAGGAGAGCUGUGUGCUCCUUUCUCCAGGGGACCUCACACCCCUGAGGCCUGUUGAGAAGCCUUCCCACUGAUUUCUCUCCCUUUUUCCUUCAGACCUUGCUCACCGGGUUCUGCUUUCCCUUCCUCUGAUCCCCCUUCCCUCACCGCCUGGGGCUCUGCCCUCUUUGUCUCCAUCCUCCCUUGGUGGUGCUCUCCAGGUGAGACCUUGUUAGACGUGAGCUUCUCAACGUGCCUUACACCCAGCAGCUGUGUUAACACGUCCCAGUUUAGAGGCUUCUUCAGGAAAGAAAACAUCAGUGGCUCUCACGGCCCCUGGGAUACCCCAUCCAUAGCCAGGGAUGGACCCUGACGUGGAGGAGACCAAACGCCUGCCAGGUUGAGAAAAUUAUUUUCCAAAGUGGAAAAAAAAAAUUAAAAAAAUUUGCAAUCCAAAGCUGUUGUAGCGGGGAGUUUGGUUUUGGCAAUAUUUUCAGACCUGCUUUUCGGUUUUGGUUUUACUGUGUCUUGUUUUGCAAGGAUGAGAACAUUCUGUGCUGAUGAAAUCAGUCAGUUUAAUUGCACACUAAAAGCAUGUUGAUGUUUAUAUUAUGUGAGUAUUAAUUUUAAUCUCCAAUAUUAAUCAGUAGCAAUGUAAACAAUGUAUUGAGCAUUAUCUUUGCAGGCUGUAUUUGUGUAUAAUUUAAUAUUUACAACAGGUGUUUAAUAUUUUAUAUUGUGUGAUAAUAUUUCUCUGUUAUUGUUCAUCAGGGACGGGAAAAGAAAUAAAGGUUUUAAAUUGCA